rnacentral:rRNA from 1 species
UACGAAGGGGGCUAGCGUUGCUGGGAAUUACUGGGGGUAAAGGGCGCGUAGGCGGACAGUUUAGUCAGAGGUGAAAGCCCAGGGCUCAACCUUGGAAUUGCCUUUGAUACUGGCUGUCUUGAGUUCGGGAGAGGUGAGUGGAAUGCCGAGUGUAGAGGUGAAAUUCGUAGAUAUUCGGCGGAACACCAGUGGCGAAGGCGACUCACUGGCCCGAUACUGACGCUGAGGCGCGAAAGCGUGGGGAGCAAACAGG